UUUUUAAAUUCCCAUAAUCCAAUAUGCCAAAAUGGCUGCCAAAUCAAAAAUCAAUUUGUCAACAUGAUAAAUACAUGGCUGCCAAAACCAAUCUGUCAACAUGAUAAAUCAAAAUGGCUGCCAAAUCCAAUUCAAAAACCAUAAAAUUUCGAUAAAUCCAAUCUGAAAUGGCUGAAUCUAACAAACUCAAUCAAAAACCAUAAUCUAAUCUAACAAAAUGGCUGCCAAAUCAAUGGCCGAAAUCAACAAAUUUAAUGGCUGAAAUGACUGAAUCUAACAAACUCAAUCUCUCAAAAAUGGCUGAAAUCAACAAUUUAUCUAACAAAAUCAAAAUGGUGCGGCGCAGCGGCGACCGGUGCGUGCGUGCGUCGAGAGAGCUGUAAAAGAGAGAGUGUGAAAGAGAGUUGGGCAGAGAGUAAAAGAGAGAGUGUGAAAGAGGGAGUCGCCGA
rnacentral:lncRNA from 1 species